GCAGCGUCUCAAAGGAUGGCCUCUAGAGCUGAUCUGUGAAAAAGCCAUAGCCACCUGCAACAGGCUACUGGGACCUGGAGAAGCUCUGCGUCGCGUCAUUGAGUGCAUUGCAUCCGGAAUUCUCCUGCCAGGUGGUCCAGGAGUUCACAACCCCUGUGAAAGAGAACCUAUAGAUGUCCUGUCUGAACUCAGCGCGCAGCAGGCUGACAACAUCACACACAGCGCACAGCAUUUGUUACGUCUCCUAGCCUUUGGACAACUUUACAAGGUUUUGAGUAUAGACCCACUUCCUGCCAACAAGUCCUCAACAAGAUUGUCAGAAGGAAGUUGUCAGAAGAGGUUUCGAGAGAAUGCAGGACCAGAUGACAGAGACUUUAUCAAGAGG